rnacentral:rRNA from 1 species
UACAGAGGUCUCAAGCGUUGUUCGGAUUCAUUGGGCGUAAAGGGCGCGUAGGUGGCGCGGUAAGCGUGCGGUGAAAGCCUGGGGCUCAACCCCGGGUCGGCCGUGCGAACUGCUGGGCUUGAGCACUGUAGAGGCAGGCGGAAUUCCGGGUGUAGCGGUGGAAUGCGUAGAGAUCCGGAAGAACACCGGUGGCGAAGGCGGCCUGCUGGGCA